GAUGAACGCUGGCGGCGUGCCUAAUACAUGCAAGUCGAGCGAACAGAUGAGGAGCUUGCUCCUCUGACGUUAGCGGCGGACGUGUGAGUAACACGUGGAUAACCUACCUAUAAGACUGGGAUAACUUCGGGAAACCGGCGCUAAUACCGGAUAAUAUAUUGAACCGCAUGGUUCAAUAGUGAAAGACGGUUUUGCUGUCUCUUAUAGAUGGAUCCGCGCCGCAUUAGCUAGUUGGUAAGGUAACGGCUUACCAAGGCAACGAUGCGUAGCCGACCUGAGAGGGUGAUCGGCCACACGGGAACUGAGACACGGUCAAGACUACUACGGGAGGCAGCAGUAGGGAAUAUUACGCAAUGGGCGAAAGCCUGACGGAGCAACGCCGCGUGAGUGAUGAAGGUCUUCGGAUCGUAAAACUCUGUUAUUAGGGAAGAACAAAUGUGUAAGUAACUAUGCACGUCGUGACGGUACCUAAUCAGAAAGCCACGGCUAACUACGUG
rnacentral:rRNA from 1 species